UCCGUUCAGUUCACCGUCGCC
rnacentral:siRNA from 1 species